rnacentral:rRNA from 1 species
GAUGAACGCUGGCGGCGUGCCUAACACAUGCAAGUCGAGCGAACAGACGAGGCGCUUGCUUCUCUGCAGUUACCGACGGAUGGGUGAGUCAUACGUGGCUACCCUGCCUAUGAGACUAGGAUAACUUCGGGAAACCUGAUAUAACAUACGAUAAGAUAUUGAACGGCAUGGUUCAUUAGUGCAAGCCGUUUUUGCUGUCCCUUAUAGAUGGAUCCGAGCCGGAUUAGCUAGUUGGUAAGGUAACGGCUUACCAAGGCUACGAUGCGUAGCUGACCUGAGAGGGUGAUCAGCCACACUGGAACUGAGACACGGUCCAGACUCCUACGGGAGGCAGCAGUAGGGAAUCUUCGGCAAUGGGCGAAAGCUUGACGCAGCAACGCCGCGUGUGUGAAGAAGGUCUUCGGAUCGUAAAACUCUGUUAGUUGGGAGGAACAGAAGUGUGUUUAUCUAUUGACGUCUUGACGUUACCAAAAGAAUAAGCCACGGCUAACUACGUG